rnacentral:siRNA from 1 species
UAAGUAGUUGUGCAUAUGCCACA